GCGGCGGACACAGACGAGUCAAAGUGAUCCGGCCAGGUCAGGUCCAGCGCUCCGCUCCUCAAUGUCUCAACUGCUGUUCCGCGAUGCUCAGGUCACUUCCUGGUCGACGGAGGAUGACCAAAAAACAUCAACGGGACUCUACUAUGUUCAUUCUGGAAAACCCCUCCUGCCUCCUAAUUCAAAGGUUAUGGGAAGGCUGGAGGCAAUCCUGGAGGAAAAGAAAAAAUUUGGCCAUGAGCGUACACUAGCUACGUAUAGAGAGGGAAUUGAAGGAUUCUGUCAGCUGAUGCAAUGUGGAGGAGG